GCCGAGAGCGAGGGGCUUUUCCUCGACGGUCGCCGCGCAGUUUGAGCCUCUGUAACUGUCCGGCAACAUUACGGGAAAAUACACGG
rfam:Cariama cristata contig38235, whole genome shotgun sequence.